rnacentral:rRNA from 1 species
AGUGAACGCUGGCGGCAGGCCUAAUACAUGCAAGUCGAACGGCAGCACAGCAGAGCUUGCUCUGUGGGUGACGAGUGGGCGGACGGGUGAGGAAUACGUGGGAAUCUGCCCAGUCGUGGGGAUAACGUAGGGAAACUUACGCUAAUACCGCAUGCGCCCUUCGGGGGAAAGCCGGGGACCUUCGGGCCUGGCGCGAUUGGAUGAGCCCAGUCGGAUUAGCUAGUUGGCGGGGUAAAGGCCCACCAAGGCGACGAUCCGUAGCUGGUCUGAGAGGAUGAUCAGCCACACUGGAACUGAGACACGGUCCAGACUCCUACGGGAGCAGCAGUAGGGAAUAUUGGACAAAUGGGCGCAAGCCUGAUCCAGCCAUG